rnacentral:rRNA from 1 species
GUGAGGAAUAUUGCGCAAUGGAGGCAACUCUGACGCAGCCAUGCCGCGUGCAGGAAGAAGGCGCUACGCGUUGUAAACUGCUUUUAACCGGGAAGAAACCCCAGGACGUGUCCUGGGUUGACGGUACCGGAGGAAUAAGCACCGGCUAACUUCGUGCCAGCAGCCGCGGUAAUACGAAGGGUGCAAGCGUUAUCCGGAUUCAUUGGGUUUAAAGGGUGCGUAGGCGGAGCGUUAAGUCAGUGGUGAAAUCCUGCAGCUUAACUGUAGACUUGCCAUUGAUACUGGCGCUCUUGAGUGCGCUUGAAGGGGGCGGAAUGUGCCGUGUAGCGGUGAAAUGCUUAGAUAUGGCACAGAACACCAAUUGCGAAGGCAGCUCACUAAGGCGAUACUGACGCUGAGGCACGAAAGCGUGGGGAUCGAACAGGAUUAGAAACCCUGGUAGUCC